AACGAACGCUGGCGGCGUGGAUAAGACAUGCAAGUCGAACGGGGUAUUAAGUGUAGCAAUACGCUUGAUGCUCAGUGGCGUAAGGGUGCGUAACACGUGGACAAUCUGCCGAGAAGUGGGGGAUAGCUCGCCGAAAGGCGAAUUAAUACCGCAUGUGACUAAGGGAGGCAUCUUCCUGACGUCAAAGCCGGGGCAACCUGGCGCUUCUUGAUGAGUCCGCGGCCUAUCAGCUUGUUGGCGGGGUAACGGCCCACCAAGGCUAUGACGGGUAGCUGGUCUGAGAGGACGACCAGCCACACUGGAACUGAGACACGGUACAGACACCUACGGGUGGCAGCAGUCGAGAAUUUUUCUCAAUGGGGGAAACCCUGAAGGAGCGACGCCGCGUGAAGGAUGAAGGUCUUCGGAUUGUAAACUUCUGUCAUUUGAGAACAAACUGCAGGGAUUAACUGUCCUUGCACUGAUAGUAUCAGAAGAGGAAGAGACGGCUAACUCUGUGCCAGCAGCCGCGGUAA
rnacentral:rRNA from 1 species